rnacentral:rRNA from 1 species
UACGAAGGGGGCAAGCGUUGUCCGGAAUCAUUGGGCGUAAAGCGCGCGUCGGCGGCCCGGUAAGUCCGCUGUGAAAGUCCAGGGCUCAACCCUGGAAAGCCGGUGGAUACUGCCGGGCUAGAGUCCGGAAGAGGCGAGUGGAAUUCCUGGUGUAGCGGUGGAAUGCGCAGAUAUCAGGAGGAACACCAAUAGCGAAGGCAGCUCGCUGGGACGGUACUGACGCUGAGGUGCGAAAGCGUGGGGAGCAAACAGG